AACUCAAGGAUUACAUUUUUGCCCUGAGUACCUUGCCUUGCUAUAAAAUCGACGUCUCCCAACUCUUUUUCAUCUCGAGAAGCCUCCAUCAAGGUCAACACCCACCGUUCGCCGAUAUCAGGCUUAUCCAUCGCAAUCAACAUCGGCAGAACCUUGAUUCUGUUUGCUCUGCAAUUUCACAUCUAGGUGGUUAAUUACAGCAACUUCAAGGAAGUGCCUUCUCGUUGAUUGAUCAAACAAAAAGGAGACAACUUUGUGUCUUUGUUUGUUUGGCUAUUGUUAAUCAGACACAUUGCUGUCUAGGUUAAUCAGCUUCUGUUGUGUUUCUUGGACUGUUUGGAUUUGGUCAGAGGAACUUUGUGAUAACCAAGUUAUAAUUUGAAAACAGGUAUACAGAAUUUGCUGGGCCAGUUCCUACUAGACCUGCACAGGACUUGGCAUUUUCAGUUGCAAGGUUUAUACAAAAUGGUGGUUCUUUUGCCAACUACUACAUGGUACUUGUUCUCCUCCUUUAUAUCAAACAGCUAAUUUUAUCUUUACUGAUGUUCGUAAAAUUAUCUUAUUUAACCAUCUUUUACUCUGAUUUUGUUACAAUACCAUGGAGGAACAAAUUUUGGCCGAACUGCUGGCGGUCCCUUCAUUAUAACUAGCUAUGACUAUGAUGCAUCUCUAGAUGAAUGUGGUAUGCAAAUAGGGGAUUAGCAUCUUGACCAGGACUACCAAGAGAACCAAAAUAUAGCCAUUUGAAAUAUCUGCACAAAGCCAUCAAAUUAGCUGAGCCAGCUUUAGUGGCUACUGAUGAGCUAAUAAAAUUUAUCUAUGAUAGAAGCCUCCAGAACUCUUUCCUUCCUCCUGCUUCCUAAACCGCCUCCUUCACUCUCUCAGACGACUGGCUCCUCAACUGCGGCUCUUCCUCCAACGCCACCUUCUUCAGCCGUUUCUUCAUUGGAGAUUUCAAUUUCAGGUCGGGUGUUGUCUCCACAGGCUGGCCUAUUUCAGUCAGGAACAACAAAAUCCUACCUUCAAACUCACUCUUCUUACCACACAGCAAGAGUGUUCACAACUGCUUCAACCCUUCAAGCUAUAGUUUAAGCAUCAAGAAAAUCGGAACUCACUUGGUUUGAUGCGAAAAAGUGUGCAACUGAUUGUUUCGGCGCUGUUCCUUUGUCUGUUGAAGCUCCCACAGUUAGAAUCUGUUCCUCAGUUGACAGUACAAACUUCUGUGGAAAAUAGUUUCUCUUAUGCAGAUUCUAUUUGUUCCCCGAUUUCAUAUCUGGAUAAGUCACUGCUGCUAUUUCAAGUUUCCAGAGAUGAUCAGACGCACAUUAAUAUGUGAAAUAAGAGCUUUUCAAAUCAAGAUUCGUGUUUUCAGAAUCUGGGGACCAAGGAAGUACAACAAUGAGAUGUACAAUGGUCUCCAUUAUGUGUUAGUUGAUAAAGAGGGAAAUACGAUUCAUGCUAUAAUUGAUGAAUCUGAUUAUCCUUAUGUGUUGUCAUGAUGGAACAAGGACAGAUCUAUGACAUCACCCAUUUCUCCAAACGGAGACACGUAUCCAAAUACAAAGUUGUAGAUCAUGAUGCUCAGCUGUAUUUCAAAGAGUCAACGAAAUUCGAACCAGUGGAACAUACGUUGCCUCCAAUUCCGCAGUAUGCAUUUCAUCUUCUUGAUUUUAAUUAAAAGACCGAAGCUGAAAAAGCAUCAAGUAUUAUGCGGAUCAUCCUGAAGAAAUCAACAAAGCUUCCAAAAACGAAGGCUCAAUUAUCCGGGUCUUAGGAUCCAAAAUUAGAAUGUUGUAUAACAUUUGGAACUUAGUAACUCAAGUUACAACCAGAUUCUGCAUGCUUCUCAAAAAUGUUCCACCACCAACUGUAACAAACUGCAAUAAUGAAAACUCCCAUUUCAAAUUUAUGGAAAACAAUUAUCGUUACAAUUUUCACGAAGCGCGGGCACUAUUGCCAGUGCAUAUAAAAGCAUCGUUUGAGUAAAUACUAGAUGACCAUUCGUAUUCAAACUUGGCACGUAAUUGAAAAUUCUGGAGAGUUCAGUUUUGGCCAUGUAGGACUGUAUGUGCCACAAGUACAUGCAUCGAGCCAACUCAAAUGCAUGAUUUCUUGAAGAGAUUUAUCAUCUAUGGCUCCAGCACCAUGACCAAUAAUUCACCAUUCGUAU